UUCAGUAACCCUUUUGUAAGUCGACCUAGUACAGUGACUUAGAAAGCAUUUAACCCCUAACUCGAAAGAUAAAGGAACUUAUGAGGAACAACCCUCAACAGCUGAAUUGAAAUUCCAAAUGGAAGCCAUGCAUAAAGAAUGGGAUCAAAGAUUGAGAAAGACUAUGGAGCAAAUGCAAGAACAAUUAGAAGAGAUGAGGGUGUGUCACAACCCGAAAAGUUUCUAAAAUCUUGAAUGAUUAGAAUAAAGGUUAAAGAAUAAAACCUAGAUGAGAAUUUGAGAAUUUAUUUAAAAUUUUCAAGAAAAACCUAUAUGGUUUGAUAUUCGAAUGAGAAUAGAGUUAUAUAAUGUGAAUACAUUUAUUUUGUAUAUAAUGGUGAAGUAAGAAUUAAGUUAUGUAACCUAAUAUAUAUAUUAGGUGUGGUGAUUAAAUAACCUGAGAGGUUAUAAUAUGGGAGAAUAUUAGUAUAUAAAUGUAUAUACUGACAUUAAGAGAUUUAUUUUAUAUAUCUCCAAUAAUUAAUUUUAUAACCAAGUAUAAUUUGGUUUAUGAAAUUAAAAGGGCAAGAGUAAGGAAUUUAUUUUCUAGAGUGAGAGAUGUAAACCCUAAUUUAAAGAUAAGGGUAGAAUGGAAUAAAAUUAAAAAUAAUAGACUAUAAUAAGGUUAUAGCCCAAUUAAUUUGAAUAGAGUCCAAGAGAAGUAGAUUUAAUGGACUAAUGANNNN
rnacentral:lncRNA from 1 species